UCUAUUUUGGCAGAUUAAUUGUAUCAAAUUUAGAAUUUGAAAAUGACAUGUGUUGUCAAAUAGAA
rnacentral:tRNA from 1 species